UAUUUCAUAAGUAUAUUAGUAUGUUUGAUUUCCAAUCGAGAGGUUUUUGAUUACCCCAAAAAUGAAAUAU
rnacentral:tRNA from 1 species